rnacentral:rRNA from 1 species
UACGGGGGGAGCAAGCGUUGUUCGGAUUUACUGGGCGUAAAGGGCGCGUAGGCGGCCACCGCAAGUCGGUUGUGAAAUCUCUGGGCUUAACCCAGAAAGGUCAACCGAUACUGCGGGGCUAGAGUGCAGAAGGGGCAACUGGAAUUCUCGGUGUAGCGGUGAAAUGCGUAGAUAUCGAGAGGAACACCUGCGGCGAAGGCGGGUUGCUGGGCUGACACUGACGCUGAUGCGCGAAAGCUAGGGGAGCAAACGGG